UACGUAGGGGGCUAGCGUUGUCCGGAAUCAUUGGGCGUAAAGCGUGCGUAGACGGUUAUUUAAGUCGGGUGUGAAAGCCCCGGGCUCAACCUGGGAAUUGCAUUCGAGACUGAAUAGCUAGGGUACGGUAGAGGGAAGCGGAAGUUUCCGGUGUAGCGGUGAAAUGCGUAGAUAUCAGGAGGAACACCGAUGGCGAAGGCAGGUCUCUGGGCCACUACUGACGCUGAGAAGCGAA
rnacentral:rRNA from 1 species